GGGCAAUUAACUCAGCGGGAGAGUGCUACCUUCACAUGGUAGAAGUCGAGGGUUCGAACCCCCCAUUGCCCACCA
rnacentral:tRNA from 1 species